GACGAACGCUGGCGGCGUGCCUAAUACAUGCAAGUAGAACGCAGUUGCGAACGGUUGAGUAACGCGUAGGUAACUGCCUCCUAGCGGCGGAUAACUAUUGGAAACGAUAGCUACUACCGCCUACUUUGAGAUGGACCUGCGUUGUCUUAGCUAGUUCGUGAGGUAAAGGCACAACAAGGAGACGAUACAUAGCCGACCCGGGAGGGUGAUAGGCCACCAUGGGGAUGAGACACGGCCCAGACUCCGUCGGGAAGGAGCAGUAGGGGAUCUUCGGGAAUGGACGGAAGUCUGACCGAGGAAAGCCGCGUGAGUGAAAAAAGGUUUCGGAUCGUAAAGCUCUGUUGUUAGAGAAGCGGUAACUAACCAGAAAGGGACGGCUAACUACGUGCCAGCAGCCGCGGUAAUUC
rnacentral:rRNA from 1 species